rnacentral:lncRNA from 1 species
UUCACCAACAACCUCUUACCGUUUCCCUAUCUAAAUGCUACUUUUAGUAAGGAGCCCUCCCAAUUUAACACCUACCUAAAUUCAUUUUCACCACACUUGUACAUGGAUCCCUUAAGUAAGUGACAGAUUACUAGUUCUACAAACGAUAAUGCAAAGUCGAUAUUUUAUCGAUAAAAUGAUUUUUUUGUACUUCUUAAGAAAUAAACGUCUAUCGAGUAUAUAUUACUAAAGCCUGUGAGUUUUUUUCUUGUGAUGUUAUUUUAAUUUAUCUUAAACUACAUUACGCUAUGUUUUAUGCAAUAAAACAGUAAAGAGGUUUUCUAUAGGUGAAUUUUUACCUAUGUCAUUCGCGCGUUUGUCAAAUUGACUGAUGUGUAUGUGUACAUAGAGUGAGGUUAAUUUUGGGUUUAUUAUUGUUGAAUAGAUAAGUUUAUUUUGGCAGAGAAGAGAAAACGAGGAUAAACCUUUCUUGCAGAAGAAAAAGACAAGCUAGUGAAAUUGCUGACGUCUCAUAGAGACACAAUAUUAAACAAAAAACGGAUGGGACCACGAACGAAGCCAAAAACAAAGCUUGGAUCCAGUUACAAAUAGUUUUAAUGCGACAGGAACCCUUUACAGUUUCAGGUGGUGCGAGAAAUUGGAAAGACGUGUAAAAACAUGCUGCGCCCAGCCCACCUCAAAUUGAAUUGGUGCAGGAGGAUGAUGAUAAUGUUUGGUACAUCAUAUGAGGACUAAUAUUAAAAUAUUUGUUUAC